UGGGGAAUUUUGGACAAUGGGCGCAAGCCUGAUCCAGCCAUGCCGCGUGUGGGAAGAAGGCCUUCGGGUUGUAAACCACUUUUGUCAGGGAAGAAACGGCUCUUACUAAUAUUAGGAGCUAAUGACGGUACCUGAAGAAUAAGCACCGGCUAACUACGUGCCAGCAGCCGCGGUAAUACGUAGGGUGCAAGCGUUAAUCGGAAUUACUGGGCGUAAAGCGUGCGCAGGCGGCUUUGCAAGACAGAUGUGAAAUCCCCGGGCUCAACCUGGGAACUGCAUUUGUGACUGCAAGGCUAGAGUACGGUAGAGGGGGAUGGAAUUCCGCGUGUAGCAGUGAAAUGCGUAGAUAUGCGGAGGAACACCGAUGGCGAAGGCAAUCCCCUGGACCUGUACUGACGCUCAUGCACGAAAGCGUGGGGAGCAAACAGGAUUAGAUACCCUUGUAGUCCCUGAGCGGGCUGGCAAGGCGCAU
rnacentral:rRNA from 1 species